rnacentral:rRNA from 1 species
ACUGCUCAGUAACACGUAGCUAAUCUACCCUAAGGUUAGGGAUACCCUCGGGAAACUGAGGUUAAUACCUAAUAGAAGACAUACCCUGGAAUGAUUUGUCUUUGAAAUUCGAGCCUUAGGAAGAGGCUGCGGCGGAUUAGGUUGUUGGCGGGGUAAUAGCCCACCAAGCCGACGAUCCGUAAGGGCUCUUAGCGGAGAGGCCCUGAGAGGGAAUCUGAGACACUAUUCCCAGCCCUACGGGGUGCAGCAGGUAGGCAUCUUUUGCAAUACGCGAAUGCGUGACAAAUUGAGCCAGAGUGCUUUUCUAUUUGAAAAGCUUUUGUGGAAUGUAAAAAGUUCUACGAAUAAGGACUGGGUAAGACGAGUGCCAGCCGCCGCGGUAAUACUCGCGGUCCAAGUCGCAGCCAUCUUUAUUGGGUCUAAAACAUCCGUAGCUUGUUAAGUAAGUUCUUUGUGAAAUCUGGCAUCUUAAGUGUCGGGCGCGCAAAGAAUACUGCUCAACUAGAGACCGGGAGACGUAAUGAGUACAGUCGAAGUAGCGGUAAAAUGUGUUAAUCUUGGACAGACUCACAACAGCGAAGGCAUUUUACGAGGACAGUUCUGACAGUAAAGGAUGAAGGCUAGGGGCGCAAAUUGGAUUAGAUACCCAAGUAGUCCUAGCAGUAAACACUGCGCACUAAACAUUAGUACCUCCUCGAGAGGUAUUGGUGCUGAAGGGAAGCCGAAGAGUGCGCUACCUGGGAAGUAUAGCCGCAAGGCCGAAACUUAAAGGAAUUGGCGGGGGAG